UGGCGAAAUUGUGGACAUCACAGGAGCAACCACAGCCAUCACAGCAGCAGCCAUCAGUGCAGCCACCAUCACAGCCACCACCACAGCCAUCAACAUUGCCACAGGCACAGGUGUGGCCAGGGCCACAGCCACCACAACCACAGCCACCACCUCAGCCAACACAACCAAGUGCUCAAGCCCGUUGUACUCAGCACACCUCCAAAUGCAAUCUCCAGGAUUCCCAAAGGCCAGGUCACCAGCCUACUUCAGCGGGGAUCUACUAAGCUGGAGGGCAAUCUCUGUAUCAACAACAGAUUCCAGGGUGGGCAGAAAAUCCUUACAGACUCUGGACUGGAGCCUGGGAGUGGGAGGUGAUAUACUGAGCCCCGUGAGGUCUGGAACAGGGAACCACAGCACAGCUUCCUAGUUGAGAAUCUUCAGGAAGGGCUCAGUCUGUGCCCUGUCCCAGGUCUCAUGAACCCAUGCCAAUCUAGCCCCAUCAGAAACACUGGGUAUUCACAACUCAAGUCUACCAAUUACAUACAGCAGUGGUGAUCCAGAGAUUGAACCCAGGACCCCAUGGCCAUCCCCAAAAUGCAGAUGAGCAACCACAUCUUCUCAGCAUCCAGCAAUAUCUCCACUCCAAAAGCCACCCACUCUAGAAGAGGAGGCUGCCAGGAAUAAAAUGUAAUUUUUU
rnacentral:lncRNA from 1 species